AGGGCUCAGGCCGGCGCGGCGAGCUUUCCGCUUCCGGCCGCCAUAUCCUUGGGGGAAUGCUUUCGUUUCGUGGUGCUUUGAAGUGCAGCAGCAGGCAUUGCAAUCUCAAGGACCUCGGCAAUCAUUUUAAUCAUGGUUAAUUGCGCUGUGUUCGGAUGCAACAACGAGUCGCGGCGGAAAACUGACUCUGAUCUCAACGAAGCGUCGAGCGGAAUGGUUUCGUCGCCUCUACCGGGGUGACAUUAAUACAGACGCUACCCACUACAAAGUCUGCAGCGAGCACUUCGUUUCUGGCAGGCCAUCCUACUUAAUGGAUCUGACGAACCCGGACUGGGCGCCAAGCUUGCACCUAGGGUAUGACACAAAGUCAACAACUCGAUCUGAAGAAAG
rnacentral:lncRNA from 1 species